UACGUAGGUGGCAAGCGUUGUCCGGAUUUAUUGGGUUUAAAGGGUGCGUAGGCGGCCCUGUAAGUCAGUGCUGAAAUAUCCCAGCUUAACUGGGAGGGUGGCAUUGAUACUGCGGGGCUAGAGUACAGAUGAGGUAGGCGGAAUUGACGGUGUAGCGGUGAAAUGCUUAGAUAUCGUCAAGAACACCUAUAGCGAAGGUAGCUUACUAGGCUGUAACUGACGCUGAGGCACGAAAGUGUGGGGAUCAAACAGG
rnacentral:rRNA from 1 species